GAGUUAAUUUUUUUAAGUUUUGAAAACUUUUUUUAGGUACUUGCCUUUAACUUU
rnacentral:tRNA from 1 species